GGUUAAGCGACUAAGCGUACACGGUGGAUGCCCUGGCAGUCAGAGGCGAUGAAGGACGUGCUAAUCUGCGAUAAGCGUCGGUAAGGUGAUAUGAACCGUUAUAACCGGCGAUUUCCGAAUGGGGAAACCCAGUGUGAUUCGUCACACUAUCAUUAACUGAAUCCAUAGGUUAAUGAGGCGAACCGGGGGAACUGAAACAUCUAAGUACCCCGAGGAAAAGAAAUCAACCGAGAUUCCCCCAGUAGCGGCGAGCGAACGGGGAGCAGCCCAGAGCCUGAAUCAGUGUGUGUGUUAGUGGAAGCGUCUGGAAAGGCGUGCGAUACAGGGUGACAGCCCCGUACACAAAAAUGCACAUACUGUGAGCUCGAUGAGUAGGGCGGGACACGUGGUAUCCUGUCUGAAUAUGGGGGGACCAUCCUCCAAGGCUAAAUACUCCUGACUGACCGAUAGUGAACCAGUACCGUGAGGGAAAGGCGAAAAGAACCCCGGCGAGGGGAGUGAAAAAGAACCUGAAACCGUGUACGUACAAGCAGUGGGAGCACGCUUAGGCGUGUGACUGCGUACCUUUUGUAUAAUGGGUCAGCGACUUAUAUUCUGUAGCAAGGUUAACCGAAUAGGGGAGCCGAAGGGAAACCGAGUCUUAACUGGGCGUUAAGUUGCAGGGUAUAGACCCGAAACCCGGUGAUCUAGCCAUGGGCAGGUUGAAGGUUGGGUAACACUAACUGGAGGACCGAACCGACUAAUGUUGAAAAAUUAGCGGAUGACUUGUGGCUGGGGGUGAAAGGCCAAUCAAACCGGGAGAUAGCUGGUUCUCCCCGAAAGCUAUUUAGGUAGCGCCUCGUGAACUCAUCUCCGGGGGUAGAGCACUGUUUCGGCAAGGGGGUCAUCCCGACUUACCAACCCGAUGCAAACUGCGAAUACCGGAGAAUGUUAUCACGGGAGACACACGGCGGGUGCUAACGUCCGUCGUGAAGAGGGAAACAACCCAGACCGCCAGCUAAGGUCCCAAAGUCAUGGUUAAGUGGGAAACGAUGUGGGAAGGCCCAGACAGCCAGGAUGUUGGCUUAGAAGCAGCCAUCAUUUAAAGAAAGCGUAAUAGCUCACUGGUCGAGUCGGCCUGCGCGGAAGAUGUAACGGGGCUAAACCAUGCACCGAAGCUGCGGCAGCGACGCUUAUGCGUUGUUGGGUAGGGGAGCGUUCUGUAAGCCUGUGAAGGUGUACUGUGAGGUAUGCUGGAGGUAUCAGAAGUGCGAAUGCUGACAUAAGUAACGAUAAAGCGGGUGAAAAGCCCGCUCGCCGGAAGACCAAGGGUUCCUGUCCAACGUUAAUCGGGGCAGGGUGAGUCGACCCCUAAGGCGAGGCCGAAAGGCGUAGUCGAUGGGAAACAGGUUAAUAUUCCUGUACUUGGUGUUACUGCGAAGGGGGGACGGAGAAGGCUAUGUUGGCCGGGCGACGGUUGUCCCGGUUUAAGCGUGUAGGCUGGUUUUCCAGGCAAAUCCGGAAAAUCAAGGCUGAGGCGUGAUGACGAGGCACUACGGUGCUGAAGCAACAAAUGCCCUGCUUCCAGGAAAAGCCUCUAAGCAUCAGGUAACAUCAAAUCGUACCCCAAACCGACACAGGUGGUCAGGUAGAGAAUACCAAGGCGCUUGAGAGAACUCGGGUGAAGGAACUAGGCAAAAUGGUGCCGUAACUUCGGGAGAAGGCACGCUGAUAUGUAGGUGAAGCGACUUGCUCGUGGAGCUGAAAUCAGUCGAAGAUACCAGCUGGCUGCAACUGUUUAUUAAAAACACAGCACUGUGCAAACACGAAAGUGGACGUAUACGGUGUGACGCCUGCCCGGUGCCGGAAGGUUAAUUGAUGGGGUUAGCGCAAGCGAAGCUCUUGAUCGAAGCCCCGGUAAACGGCGGCCGUAACUAUAACGGUCCUAAGGUAGCGAAAUUCCUUGUCGGGUAAGUUCCGACCUGCACGAAUGGCGUAAUGAUGGCCAGGCUGUCUCCACCCGAGACUCAGUGAAAUUGAACUCGCUGUGAAGAUGCAGUGUACCCGCGGCAAGACGGAAAGACCCCGUGAACCUUUACUAUAGCUUGACACUGAACAUUGAGCCUUGAUGUGUAGGAUAGGUGGGAGGCUUUGAAGUGUGGACGCCAGUCUGCAUGGAGCCGACCUUGAAAUACCACCCUUUAAUGUUUGAUGUUCUAACGUUGACCCGUAAUCCGGGUUGCGGACAGUGUCUGGUGGGUAGUUUGACUGGGGCGGUCUCCUCCUAAAGAGUAACGGAGGAGCACGAAGGUUGGCUAAUCCUGGUCGGACAUCAGGAGGUUAGUGCAAUGGCAUAAGCCAGCUUGACUGCGAGCGUGACGGCGCGAGCAGGUGCGAAAGCAGGUCAUAGUGAUCCGGUGGUUCUGAAUGGAAGGGCCAUCGCUCAACGGAUAAAAGGUACUCCGGGGAUAACAGGCUGAUACCGCCCAAGAGUUCAUAUCGACGGCGGUGUUUGGCACCUCGAUGUCGGCUCAUCACAUCCUGGGGCUGAAGUAGGUCCCAAGGGUAUGGCUGUUCGCCAUUUAAAGUGGUACGCGAGCUGGGUUUAGAACGUCGUGAGACAGUUCGGUCCCUAUCUGCCGUGGGCGCUGGAGAACUGAGGGGGGCUGCUCCUAGUACGAGAGGACCGGAGUGGACGCAUCACUGGUGUUCGGGUUGUCAUGCCAAUGGCACUGCCCGGUAGCUAAAUGCGGAAGAGAUAAGUGCUGAAAGCAUCUAAGCACGAAACUUGCCCCGAGAUGAGUUCUCCCUGACCCUUUAAGGGUCCUGAAGGAACGUUGAAGACGACGACGUUGAUAGGCCGGGUGUGUAAGCGCAGCGAUGCGUUGAGCUAACCGGUACUAAUGAACCGUGAGGCUUAACCUU
rnacentral:rRNA from 1 species